AAGAGAAAGAGGCGGGGGCGUCUGCAGCCUGAGAGCAUCAUUAACCAGCAAGCUGUGUCAAUCCUGUCCUUGUAUGUGAGCGUGAGGGCAUCUCAAAAUAAAAGGUCUGCUACGUGUGAAACCCCUUUUCUUCCCGUCAUUUGGAUGUCAGCAUCAACUGAAUUAACUACAAGCACCAGAGGUCAUUCAGAAGACGGCAGACCCCACCUCGCCUUGCCCUGAUCCCUGUGGUCUCCUAGUUAAAUGCACUAUUUUCUGCCAAUCGUUGGUUAUUACACAGAUGAAAAAUUUUGUAUUUGUGCUCCUACUGGUUUGAAGUGGGUGAAGAGCAAUAUUUAUAUCGCAUUCUGGUGACAGUUGGAUUGCUGUUUGCUUAUGCUGCCAACACAACCUGUCAUAUCUUGUCAAACCACACCCACACAGUAAAAUGAACAUUAUUCUUUCUCUUUUUCCAAUCGUAAUGUCAUUGUAAAGUGAAAUACUGCAAGGUUACGAGUGAUGUAAUGUUACUUCAAAGUAAUUUACAGUAAAUUACUGACAUCUGGUAUCACCAUCAUUUUACUGUACUGUACAACAUGAUCUGUCUUUGGAACCACAAAAAAUGAUCAGACAGUAAAUGGCUGCACUGAACUGUGACACUGCAACUUUUUUGGUCUUUCUUGGACUCUUAACAUCACAUAGCCACAUUUGAACUGGCCUAAGAUCACAAUUUGCAACAGAAAAGGCUAAUAUUUAAUAACCAAAUUUUGAAAACGAUACAAAAAUUGGUAUUCGCAUGGAUCACGCCUAAUCCUUUUCUCCCUCGUUGCAGAGCUGAACAAACUAACAUUAAUAACUCCAGAGUCCAGGGAAGAUUUAUAAUGUUGACCAUGAUUCUGUAAUGUCCACAAAUGAUCUGUAGAGGAGGAACGUUCAAUAAAAACAUUCGAUAUCU